rnacentral:rRNA from 1 species
UACGUAGGGGGCAAGCGUUGUCCGGAAUCAUUGGGCGUAAAGCGCGUGUAGGCGGCCAGGUAAGUCCGUUCUGAAAGCCCGGGGCUCAACCCCGGGAGGCGGAUGGAUACUGCUUGGCUCGAGUCCGGAAGAGGUGAGUGGAAUUCCCGGUGUAGCGGUGAAAUGCGCAGAUAUCAGGAGGAACACCAAUGGCGAAGGCAGCUCGCUGGAACGGUACUGACGCUGAGGCGCGAAAGCGUGGGGAGCAAACAGG